rnacentral:rRNA from 1 species
ACCGGAGGAAGGUGGGGACGACGUCAAGUCAUCAUGGCCCUUACGAGUAGGGCUACACACGUGCUACAAUGGCGCAUACAGAGGGCGGCCAACUUGCGAAAGUGAGCGAAUCCCAAAAAGUGCGUCGUAGUCCGGAUUGGAGUCUGCAACUCGACUCCAUGAAGUCGGAAUCGCUAGUAAUCGUGGAUCAGAAUGCCACGGUGAAUACGUUCCCGGGCCUUGUACACACCGCCCGUCACACCAUGGGAGUGGGCUGCAAAAGAAGUGGGUAGUUUAACCUUCGGGAGGACGCUCACCACUUUGUGGUUCAUGACUGGGGUGAAGUCGUAACAAGGUAGCGCUAGGGGAACCUGGCGCUGGAUCACCUCCUUAUACGAUGAU